UACGAGGGGGCGAGCGUUGUUCGGAAUUAUUGGGCGUAAAGGGUGCGUAGGCGGCCUGACAAGUCUGAUGUGAAAUCCCUGGGCUCAACCCAGGGCCUGCAUUCGAUACGGGCAGACUAGAGUGUGGCAGGGGAGACUGGAAUUCCUGGUGUAGCGGUGAAAUGCGCAGAUAUCAGGAGGAACACCAGUGGCGCAAGCGGCUGAUUGGCCGAGACCUGACGCUGAGACGCGACGGCGUGGGGAGCAAACCGG
rnacentral:rRNA from 1 species